GUGCCCGUAGCUCAGUUGAUAGAGCGGUGGGACGGUGUUCCACAGUCCUGGGUUCAAGUCCCAGGGGUCGCU